rnacentral:sRNA from 1 species
GGUGACCACAACAGGCAGCGCAGUCUUCUUCUAACCACCUCUCCUCCUCCUCCCUUGUCCCGAUGCCAGAUUUCUCCUCCUCAUCUUUCUCCUUCAGUCCUGGGGCUGGUGCUUUUCGCUCUGUUUCUACAUCUACCACCUUUGUCCAAGGACGCCGCAUCACCACACGCAGAAUCAUGGAGAAUGGGCAGGAGCGGGUGGAAGUGGAGGAGGAUGGGCAGCUGAAGUCAGUCACAAUCAAUGGUGUCCCAGAUGACCUGGCACUGGGCUUGGAGCUGAGCCGUCGCGAGCAGCAGCCGUCAGUCACUUCCAGGUCUGGGGGCACUCAGGUCCAGCAGACCCCUGCCUCAUGCCCCUUGGACAGCGACCUCUCUGAGGAUGAGGACCUGCAGCUGGCCAUGGCCUACAGCCUGUCAGAGAUGGAGGCAGCUGGGAAGAAACCCGCAGGUGGGCGGGAGGCACAGCACCGACGGCAGGGGCGGCCCA